UACGGAGGGUGCGAGCGUUGUCCGGAAUCAUUGGGCGUAAAGGGCGCGUAGGUGGCGGGACAAGCGUGCGGUGAAAGCCUGGGGCUCAACCCCGGGUCGGCCGUGCGAACUGUUUUGCUUGAGCACUGUAGAGGCAGGCGGAAUUCCGGGUGUAGCGGUGGAAUGCGUAGAUAUCCGGAGGAACACCAGUGGCGAAGGCGGCUCACUGGCCCGAUACUGACGCUGAGGCACGAAAGCGUGGGGAGCAAACAGG
rnacentral:rRNA from 1 species